rnacentral:tRNA from 1 species
GAUUCUAUGGUGUAACCGUUAGUCCUCUAGACUCUGAAUCUAACGAUCUGGGUUCAAAUCUCGGUAGGAUCU